GUUGCCUUCUCUGUUUCUAUAUAUACGUACUACCUGUAUAUUGAUCGUUUUUUUGCGCGAUAGUAUCGGUAGUAUCUAUACUGGUUUGGAGAGAUCGAAGUACAUUUUGCGCGCGAACAUUUUUAAGUUCGACAAACUUAGAUUCCGGACGUGACCUGUAGAGGGUGCAUUGGUCGUUAGGCACACGUAUAUGAAUUAAUGAAAUAAUUGUGUUUAUAAGUAGACUGCGAAUUUUUAUAUAUUUAUGGAAAAUUGGAAGAUGCAAAAAUUUGCGAAGUACGUGAAAUAUGAAAAAGUAUGCCUGUGAAACUUUUAAAAGAACGAUCAGGAUAAUUAAGAAGAUAAUUGCAUUUUGUGAUUUCUGGCAAUACUAUCUGCGUUUAAUUUUGUUCUCUUGUUUGAAUCGUUGGAAUAAUAAAUUAAUAGAGAACAGUGGUGUAUAAAAUGUAACAGAUACAUUCAAUUUAGACUCUAAUAAAGGAAAGGAAGAUUA